CUAAAAAUGUAAAGACGCGAUAAAGGCUUAUAGGUAGUUUUAGGUAUGUUGCUACCGCUGUUUUUCUUGGGGCCUAAAAUCGAAGUCUCGUUAGGGGAAUUCGUAACCUUCGGCAGCCUCUCUUCCCUCCGGCGAACGUUCACUGCGCUUAGGGUAGAGCAGGCGCAUCAACUCUCUUCUUCAUCUGCAUCGCCAAGCUACCCUUUGCUCAGCCGAUUCCCCUGCUAUUGGGUUCACCUGCAAGUAAUCCUCGCGCGCUGAUCUCUUCUCGCUAUCAGAAGGUGUCAGUUAAACUUCGAAUUGUAGAGCAAGUUUUCCUUUCAAUUCUGUCUAUUUCUGGUUCAGGAUAGAUUCUAAACAUCAGCCGUGUCUUUCAAGAGAAGAAUGUAAGUGAUCAAUAUAAUUGUUCGGAUAGAUGGGUGAAAUUAUUUCAUCUGCUGUAUGAUUUUAGAUGAGAAUAAUGGUGGAUUUAAGGUCAGUAACCCUCUUCUUUCGGUCAGAGAAUCUCCUGGAAUUUGAUUUCUAGGGUUUCUUUAGCUUGCAAAAUGUUACUUAUGUUUACUGACUGCGAUUGAAUUGUGAUGCCUUAUCUGAGGAAGGUCGAGGUGAGCGUCAUAAAGAAAACGUGUAAAUGUUAACCACAGAGUAAACACCUUGACUCUCCCAACCACACGCUAUCUGCUUGUCAAGUAUGCAUCAAGGAUGGCAAUCACUUCCUACUCUGGGAAGAAUAUGAAACAUGGGAAAGGGGGAAAAAAAAACUUUGUCCCAAGAAACAAAGGUAACAGUGAUCAAAGACUGCGAUUGAAUUGUGAUGCCUUAUCUGAGAAAGGUCGAGGUGAGCGUCAUAAAGAAAAUGUGUAAAUGUUAACCACAGAGUAAACACCUUGACUCUCCCAACCACACGCGAUCUGCUUGUCAAGCAUGCACCGAGGAUGGCAAUCACUUCCUACUCUGGGAAGAAUAUGAAACAUAGAAAAAGGGAAGAGGGGGGGGGGGGACUUUGUCCCAAGAAACAAAGGUAACAGUGAUCAAAGGUAUGCUCUACUGAAGCCCUGCCCUCAUCAACUCGACUUUUUGAUUUCUAGGGUUUCUUUAGAUUGGAAAAAAACUGUCCCAAGAAACAAAUGUAACAGUGAUCAAAGGUAUGCUCUACUGAAGCCCUCAUCAACUCGACUUUUUGAUCCACCUUAACAUGUUUUUCUGAUUUAGGCAUCAAAGGAUUGACAGCUAUCAAUGUUCAUCCUUAGUCCGCAAGCUAACAUUGUCCAAUAUGGGGAACCAACCAAACUUUUCCAGAUCUUCUCAUUGAAGAAUUUACUCCAGAACUAACAAACCCUGUGAUGCUGAAGCUAUAUUUCUCAUUGGUCGUGAAAUGUUGACUUUAUUUUAUGAUUUCUGUUAGGUAAAUUGACUUAUAUAUCUCAUCUUCAUCUUCCAAUCAUGUUGGUCCUAAAUAAUUGGGUGUGCCUCUAUUGAAACUUAUAUGGCUAGUAAUAUUUAGAUCUUCUAAAUCACUUUUAGUUGCACAUUUAUUUGUGUGAUUGUUAGGAAACAUGUAUUAAAAUUAAUUUAAUAGAGAUGGGAAUGUUAAGACGGUUACAUUACUGGAUAGGAUAAAAUAAAAGAUAUAAGAACAUGUUCAAAGGUGAUAAAAAAAGAUUCUAUAGGUAGAAAUAUUGAAUUGAUUAGAGUGGAAAUUGGAAGGGGUAGAGGGAGAACAAAAAAAAAUAGCUUAAUAAAAAAUGUGUUAAUUGAUUUAAGAAUGACUAGUGAUAUAGCAUUUCAUUGAGCUCAAUGGUAGGGACCGGAUAAGAUUCAUAUAGAAAACCCUAAAUAGUUGGUACACACACCGAUAAUGAUAGUCAUGCUGAGUUGUUUGUGACUCUUAAAGGGUCCCAUUACCCAUAUGUACAAGCCUCAAAUGGAUACGGGCUCUCUAUGCCUCAAAUGGAGACACUAGAGACAUUUUUCAAGUUCAUUUAUUCAAUAGUUGAUACCACUUUGGUAUCACUAACAUUAGAUACUUCAAUAUUGUCUGCAUAUUCAGGACAUGCAACAACAACAACAACAAUAACAACAAUCAAGUCAUAUAUUAUUAGGUGAGGUCGACUAUAUGGAUCCUUCUAUGUCAUUGGGCUCUAUCCCUUAUUAUAUAAUUAUCUAUAUUUAAAUAAAUUUAAUACUAUUUUUAUCAUUGUUAAUCAGGUCUUCUUUGGUCUUCCACUUCCUCCCUUAAUCUGCAUAUUUAUCAUAAUUUCACAUCGCUUAAUUAGAUCAUUUAUUGGUCGUUUAAGUGCAUAUCUGCAUCAUCUUAAAUAUGUUUCUCGGUGUUUUUCCUCAAUAGGUGCAAUCUUGACUUUCUAUAAUGUUUUCAUUUCUUAUCCUCUCCAUCAUAUGUCCGCACAUCUCCCUUAAUAUCCUUAUCUUUGCGACUCAUCUUCUGCUUGUAUGCUCGAGUCAUAGUCAAACAUUCAACUAUAUAUAACAUAGCAUAUCUAACUGUCAUUUUGUAGAAUUGCCCUUUAAGUUUUAGAGAUGUUUUACGAUUAGAAAGAAUAUCUCUCCUUCAUUUUAAUCAUCCUGCUUGUAUUCUAGGUAAGACAUUUCUUAAUCCCUUCAUUCUUUUGUAAAAACGAUCUUAAAUACUGAAAGCUCUCGGGUACAGAUAACUCAUCAUCUCCUUUUGUUCAAUACAUGCAAAGUUAAGAAACAUUCUGAAUUACUUCUUCUGUUGGUUUAACAAUUGCAAUUUUCAAAUGAGAUGGAGGUAACGAAAAUUAUAGAGACAGCCAUGACAUUCUACUUUACCUUCCCAAAAGAAAUUUCACUCCAAUGGUGUGCAAUAUCAAAAUUGCUGUGACAUUUUUAUUUUCUACAGAUGUGUUUUUGUUUGUUCUCUUGAGCAUUCCUUUCCCUAUCUGAGGUACCUGAUGAAAUAUUUUAUAUGCUUUCCUUUUAGUGGGAUUGAGGGAAAAUUGAUUUGAUUUUGACAUCUUCUCUUGCUAGAGCUUGGCAUUUACAGUGUUAGUGGGUAAUGGAGGUGAAAUAGGAAUGCUGAGAUGGAGUAUAGUCCUCCCUUUCAGAAGCACUCACAUAACUUAUUGCACAUUGUAGGUAGGGACUAGAAUGUUUUUUUUUUUUCAAGGUUGAAUAAGUUAUAUAGGAAUAUUUUCACCUGAACUUUCUUUUUCUUCUACAAUUGAGACAAGUAAUGCAAAGUUAAUGGUCUGAUCUAUUGUGAAAAAAGUCCAAGAUAACUAAACCAAUCUAUAUGUAAUGCAAACAAGGAGUCAAAGUUUUGAAAAGUUUUAGAUGAUUCAUAAGGAAUUGACUUAAAUUUUGAUUUUGGAAUUUGAUUUCUAGGGUUUCUUUAAUGAUUCAAAAGAAAGCUUGAAUUGAUUUUGGUGUUGCAUCAAUAUGUUUUUUCUUACUAACAAUGGGAAUGACUUUUACUAUUAAACAAGCAUGUAUGGGUGCUUAUUUCUUGUUCUUUAACGUCAUGCAAAGUGAGAACCUUGUGGCAAUUUUGGCAAGUCACUUGAGUUUUAGGUAAUUGAAUGAAAUAAAUAUUUUCAUAAACUCACCACUUUGAAGAGAGGAAAUAAGAUGUGGUCAUCAGGUUACUCUACCUAGACCAGCAGAAUAGAGUUGGGUGUGAGAAUUAGUGACAAAGUCAUCCAAACUCAUCUGCUGCCAUGUUAUCAAAAGAAGAAAAGUAAAUUGCUUUCUUUUCUCUGUUUAUCUUGAAAAAAAUAUGCUGCUUAUAUUUCACCUGCCUUUUUGUCCUUUUUUCUCUCUUAUGACUUCUAGAAGUUAUUUGCUGAUUGAGCUUUAUAAAACUAGCAAAUCUUAUUCUAUAAGAUCAGGCACGAUAUAUGAAAGUGUAAGUAUCCCGGGUUAGUUUUGAUGUUGAUCAACCAAGUUAAGUUAGGCCAUGUGUGUUUGAUGUCUUAUGUCUAAGUGUGCAGGAACUUAGGAACAAAGAAAUCGAAUGGAAGACGCAGCGAGUGAGAAGGAUGACACGAGAAGAGAGUCGACGAGUUUGGUGCAUCCGAGGGACGAAAAGUUGUGGAAGAGUACACUAGUGGAGCGAGAAGGACGCGCGAGGCGUAUCUGAGGGAUGAGUAGCCAUGAGGAAAACUACUCGAGGAGAAGGUCGGAGUUGGGUUCGAGUGAGCUCAAUUCUGGAUGGUCAGACCAUCACCUAAGGGAGUGGAGUCAGAAAAUGGUCACCUCGAAAGUUGACCAUUCGAGGCAUCUCCGAUUGAACGGAGUCACCCUGAUGACUUGAGGACUCGAGGUGCCUUAGAUUGCUUGAGGCGCCUCGAAUGGCUAAAGAAGUUGUUGUCGCACGGGACUCGAGGCGCCUCGGUUCAAGAUUGCUUGAGGUGCCUCGAAUGGCUAAAGAAGUUGUUGUCGCACGGGACUCGAGGCGCCUCCAAUGAACCGAGGCACCUCCAAAGAGUUGGAGCCGUUGCCGAAGGGAUAAGCCGUGGACUUUAGCUCAGCCUAACCAAAGUGCCUCCAACAUGCCAGAACAGUUGAACGUUGGCAGCAAUAAGGAUAAAGUUUAUCCAGUUGGAGGCGCCUCCAAGCAUUCGAGGCGCCUCCGAAGUGCCACAUCAGCAACGGUCACUUUUGAUCAAUGGAUUAUAAAUAGAGCCCUAAAGCCAGUUCUAAUGCAAAACACUCUGUAUUCAAUUUUGUAAUUGGUUUUGCGCUUUCAAAUGUUGUAAGGGGCUACUCCGCCUCCGACUUUGUAGAAGAAGGAGCUUGAUAAUGCAUUCCAAAGUUUUGGAUUAAUAACCACCCAGGUUAUAAUCAAGUAAACUUCUGCCUCUUAUUUUAAUCUAUGUUAUUGUUGUUUUUAAUUAAUUAGUGUGUCCUUGCUAAAUAAGUAGCAAGAAAAGUUGUAAUUUCAAUUUGCAGGCUAUUCACCCCUCUAGCCGGUCCAACCGAUCCAACCGAAAGAUCUAGAAUAUAGAAGGAAACAUAAGAAGAGUAUGAUCAUAGUCUAAUUAUUUUUAAAUGAAGCUAUUUAUGAUUCCAUUUAGAAGUUUAUCCUUGGUUAUGGUAGUAUCAGUCUCCUUGAAUUCAUGUACUAGAAUCUGUUUUAUAAGAAUAAACUUUUUUUAUAUUAAUUUGGAUAACUUUCAUAGUCGUUAUUCUUUAUUUUUUGUGAAAUUUGGUUAUAAGAUGCAAAUGCAUACUUAUUAAAUUGCUUCCUCUAAUACUUAGGAACUUAGGAACAAAGAAAUCAAAUGGAAGACCCAGCGAGUGAGAAGGAUGACACGAGAAGAGAGUCGAUGAGCUCGGUGCAUCCGAGGGACGAAAAGUUGUGGAAGAGUACACCAGUGGAGCGAGAAGGAUGCGCGAGGCGUAUCCGAGGGAUGAGUAGCCAUGAGGAAAACUACUCGAGGAGAAAGUCGGAGUUGGGUUCGGGUGAGCUCAAUUCUGGAUGGUCAGACCAUCACCUAAGGGAGUGGAGUCAGAAAAUGGUCACCUCGAAAGUUGACCAUUCGAGACAUCUCCGAUUGAACGGAGUCACCCUGAUGACUUGAAGACUCGAGGUGCCUUAGAUUGCUUAAGGCGCCUCAAAUGGAUAAAGAAGUUGUUGUCGCACGGGACUCGAGGCGCCUCCGAUGAACUGAGGCACCUCCAAAGAGUUGGAGCCGUUGCCGAAGGGAUAAGUCGUGGAAUUCAGCUCAGCCUAACCAAAGUGCCUCCAACAUGCCAGAACAAUUGAACAUUGGCAACAAUAAGGAUAAAGUUUAUCCAGUUGGAGGCGCCUCCAAGCAUUCGAGGCGCCUCCGAAGUGCCACGUCAGCAACGGUCACUUUUGAUCAAUGGACUAUAAAUAGAGCCCUAAAGCCAGUUGUAAUGCAAAACACUCUGUAUUCAAUUUUGUAAUUGGUUUUGUGCUUUCAACUGUUGUAAGGGGCUACUCCGCCUCCGACUUUGUCGAAGAAGGAGCUUGAUAAUGCAUUCCAAAGUUUUGGAUUAACAACCACCCAGGUUAUAACCAAGUAAACUUCUGCCUCUUAUUUUAAUCUAUGUUAUUGUUGUUUUUAAUUAAUUAGUGUGUCCUUGCUAAGUAAGUAGCAAGAAAAGUUGUAAUUUCAAUUUGCAGGCUAUUCACUCCUUCUAGCCGGUCCAACCGAUCCAACCGAAAGAUCUAGAAUAUAGAAGGAAACAUAAGAAGACUGCUGCCUUCACAUUGUACCAUGAUGGAAAUAACACCCUUUUACAGAUAAAGAUCCCUACUGAAAUUAUGAGGCAUCUCAUAGCCAAGAUUAUGAAGUUUCCUAUGUGGAACAAGCAUCUUUAUCCUCAAGAUCACGAAGAACCUUUCUUUUGAUCAUUCUUUUUGCAGCUAAAGAUGGAAGAGUUUAUUACUAUUAUUAUUUAGAGGAAUCUGAAGAGUUACUAUUAUACUAUUCUUUUUUCAGCUAAAACUGCAAAGGAGGAGAAUAUGGUGACGGGAAUGUAUGCUGAUUCAUUUCAGUUGCAAUGCAAAUAGGCAUGUUAAAAUGUGGUAGAACUAUGCUGGAUGCAUAACAAAUUUUUCUCCACAGUUGACACAUGACGGGAAUGCUUGCAGAUUCGUUCCAUUUCCUUUAUUAUUAUUAUUAUUUUUUAAGGUUAGAUUCAUUUGUUCAUUCUUUGAACUGCAGAGUUUCUGAUGCCAAGUUAGAACUCAAUGUUACUCUGAGGAUGCAGGUGGACUAGUAAAGCCUUGUGAGUUCACAGAAACUCAAUCCAUUAUUGCCAGGUGCCAGAAUGCAAAAUUAAACAGACUUGCAUGCAUUGAAAAUUUACUACAAAAAAGGCCAGAGUUCACACACCAGCUUGCAUGAUCUACAUACAUACGUCUCAAAACUAUACAAACACAAAGUUAAUUAGCCAACGGUUGUCAGGCAUUCGAAGCUACCAGCUCUUGCAAAAGAGGACCUUAUUUCAUCCUGGCAUCGUCCAAUAGGAUUACCAUUUUCAAGCCCCCCUGAUGCUUUGCCUCUGCGUUUGCAAAUGCUUGUACAUUUUUCACAAACAAAUCUUGCAGGCGGAUCCUCUGAAUCGUCAAUUCCAGCACACCUGGUGUGAUGCCAGACUCCGCAGACAUCACAGGCCAUCAUCCUCUCUCCAUCAUCAUCCUUGGCGCCACAAGAACAAUCAACAAUCCAGUUGUCCAACCCUCGUUCCUUUCGGUAUUGCCCAAGGUUUUGGUUGUUGCCAUCGCAUCUUCCUCUGAUCUGAACCAUCCCACGUGAGCCGAACAGAGUCUUGAUUGGGGUCACAUCACUAGCAUCUUCAUAAUUGACUAGUUGCUCAACUUUAAACCUUUGGAAUAUCAAAUAAGUCUCUUGGAAUGCUUUUGUAACCAUCUUUUUUAGGUCAAAAAUGGUGGCUUCCACCGGCAUCACCAAGAGUUCUGGUGGUAGGACAAUGUAAUCAUCUGGAUAGUCAACAAGUUCAACAUGACACCAUAGAGCCAUGACAAAUGGAUUUGUCGGCAACAGGUUUAACACAGGCUCAUCAUAGUGCCUUAUAAGUUGCUUGCAGUCAAGAAGCUUAAAGGCAGAAUUGAGAGCAGCUUCUCUCACGGUUUUAGGCCUGUACGGCUGCAUGGUAAUUGGAUUGAGCAAACUGUCAUACAAGAAUCUAAGGUCAUGGACGAGCUGCCCUCUAGACAGUCUGGGAAGACAAGGAGUGGCAGUCAACUGGGAAUUUGUUGCUUCAAGCCUGAAAUUUACAAUGACACAAUGCCACUUAUUUCAGAUGUAACAGAAAGGAGCACGCUGCCAACUGCAAUAUGAUAGAGCUACAAGAUUUAUUUGAAAUUACCUGUAUUCAAUUGUCUUUGAAUCCAGAUUGUAGCGAGCAACUAUCGAUCCAUUACUGACUUGUUCUCCAACAAUAACCUUGAGACAAUAGUCAAGCAGUUCAGGUGGCUUGAUGGCAUGGCAUGAGGCCCGUCUAAGGGCACGCCAAGUCACCCAUUGAGGGCCCACAACAGCUCGAAGAAACUUAAUUACAGUUGCCUUAGCUAAGUCCACUUGAUCCCUCGACCAAGCACAAAGAGCUCCAACUGCAGCCACUUCUGCAGAUUUGUGUCCAGCAGGAGGAAAGUGUAGCAGCUGCAUGAGAUAGCAGAAAAGGUCUCUGAUGGUCAAUAGUUGACAGUCCGAGAGGCUACAAUACAAGCUAAUAGUGUUCUGCAGUUGUGUCCGGGGGAAUCUAGUGCCAGAAAGGAAGAUAGAAAGUUGCAGACUGGAAAGGGUGUCGACGGCCUUCUGAUAUGACUCGGCAGUCAGAGCAAAGCUGCCAGUGCCAAACUUAUACCCCCAAUUCCCGUACCAAGGAUGACCAACGGUGACAGCGUGGAGGAGGCGGUAGUCCAUCCCAUGUUUCUUGGAUAUAUCCAUGACGCUCACCUUCCUGUUAGAGAAAUAAUUUGGUCAUAUCCAGAUAGAUACAUGUAACAUAAAUCAAGGUAAUAAAUCAAUCUUCCACAUCAAAA